rnacentral:tRNA from 1 species
UAAAAAAUAAGCUAACACUAAGCUAUUGAACUCAUAAUUCAAUUAUAAAGGUUAUCUUUAAUCCUUUUUUUUUAU